GAUCCUGGCUCAGGACGAACGCUGGCGGCGUGCUUAACACAUGCAAGUCGAACGGAGCACCCUUGAUUGAGGUUUCGGCCAAAUGAUAGGAAUGCUUAGUGGCGGACUGGUGAGUAACGCGUGAGGAACCUGCCUUUCAGAGGGGGACGAACAGUUGGAACGACUGCUAAUACCGCAUGACGCAUUUUGUAUCGCAUGGUCGAAAUAGCCAAAGAUUUAUCGCUGAAAGAAUGGCCUCG
rnacentral:rRNA from 1 species